CUGAGUGCUGAUGGGCGAG
rnacentral:piRNA from 1 species